UAGGGAAUCUUCCGCAAUGGGCGAAAGCCUGACGGAGCAACGCCGCGUGAGUGAUGAAGGUCUUCGGAUCGUAAAACUCUGUUAUUAGGGAAGAACUAAUGUGUAAGUAACUAUGCACGUCUUGACGGUACCUAAUCAGAAAGCCACGGCUAACUACGUGCCAGCAGCCGCGGUAAUACGUAGGUGGCAAGCGUUAUCCGGAAUUAUUGGGCGUAAAGCGCGCGUAGGCGGUUUUUUAAGUCUGAUGUGAAAGCCCACGGCUCAACCGUGGAGGGUCAUUGGAAACUGUAAAACUUGAGUGCAGAAGAGGAAAGUGGAAUUCCAUGUGUAGCGGUGAAAUGCGCAGAGAUAUGGAGGAACACCAGUGGCGAAGGCGACUUUCUGGUCUGUAACUGACGCUGAUGUGCGAAAGCGUGGGGAUCAAACAGG
rnacentral:rRNA from 1 species